rnacentral:rRNA from 1 species
GACGAACGCUGGCGGCGUGCUUAACACAUGCAAGUCGAGCGGAGCGGCGAACGGGAGAGUAACGCGUGAGUAAUUGCCCCCCUCUCUGGGAUAACAGUUGGAAACGGUUGCUAAUACCGGAUAGUGGGGGAUGAAUCGCGUCCUAUCAGCUUGUUGGUGGGGUAGUGGCAUACCAAGGCGACGACGGGUAGCCGGCCUGGGAGGACGACCGGCCACAAUGGGCUGAGGGACGGCCCAAACUCCAACGGGAGGCAGCAGUGGAGAAUAUUGCACAAUGGGGGAGACCCUGAUGCAGCAGCGCCGCGUGCGUAAUGACGGCCUUCGGGUUGUAAACCGCUUUCAGCCAUGACGCGGUAGUGGCAGAAGAAGCACCGGCUAACUACGUGCCAGCAGCCGCGGUAAUUC